AAUCUGCCUGGUAGUGGGGGAUAACGUCCGGAAACGGACGCUAAUACCGCAUACGUCCUACGGGAGAAAGCAGGGGACCUUCGGGCCUUGCGCUAUCAGAUGAGCCUAGGUCGGAUUAGCUAGUUGGUGGGGUAAUGGCUCACCAAGGCGACGAUCCGUAACUGGUCUGAGAGGAUGAUCAGUCACACUGGAACUGAGACACGGUCCAGACUCCUACGGGAGGCAGCAGUGGGGAAUAUUGCACAAUAAACGAAAGCCUGGUCUUUGGAAAACCAAAAGUGUGAAGAAGGUCUUCAGAUUGUAAAGGGGAUAAAAGUUGGAGGAAGGGCAGUAAAUUAAUACUUUGCUGUUUUGACGGGGGGGGAGAGAAUAAGCAGCGGCUAACUCUGUGCCAGCAGCCGCGGUAAGACAGAGGGUGCAAGCGUUAAUCGGAAUUACUGGGCGUAAAGCGCGCGUAGGUGGUUCGUUAAGUUGGAUGUGAAAUCCCCGGGCUCAACCUGGGAACUGCAUUCAAAACUGACGAGCUAGAGUAUGGUAGAGGGUGGUGGAAUUUCCUGUGUAGCGGUGAAAUGCGUAGAUAUAGGAAGGAACACCAGUGGCGAAAGCGACCACCUGGGACUGAUACUGACACUGAGGUGCGAAAGCGUGGGGAGCAACAGGAUUAGAUACCCUGGUAGUCCACGCCGUAACGAUGUCACUAGCCGUUGGGA
rnacentral:rRNA from 1 species